rnacentral:rRNA from 1 species
UCUAUAACUCGAUAAUCCACGUAUACUCAACCUUCUCUUGAUUAUGCAGCAUGUGUACUGCCGUUGUAAGCAUACCUUUAAAAGAAUAAGUAUGCUAUAAUGAUUAAUAACUCAUAUACAUCAGGUCAAAGUGCAGCUAAUAAGAAGGUGAUGAUGGGUUACAACCCAAAAAAAGACUAUCAACUAAGAAAUAAAAAAUCUUACGAAAGUGGACUUGGCCGUAAUCAAUUUACAAGUUAAAAAAAUGAAUAAAAAUCUAAGACAUGUACACAUCGCCCGUCACUCUGCCCUAAAGGUUAGAUAAGUCGUAACAAAGUAGGUGUAAUGGAAAUUGUACCUGUCGAGGUAUAGCAUAUAUAAUGCUUUUUACUUACACUAAAAACAAAGUUAAACAACUUGCCUCGCCCACAUAAUAUAAUCUUAUAAACCUUAAAACAAUAAAAACAAUUAAAAAAAUAUUUAUAACCUAUAAAGUACAGAAAUGGAAACAAUAAUAAAUAAAAGUAAUUAUUAACAACUGUACCUUGUGCAUUAUGGUUUUACAAGAAAAUAAUUAAAAACCCCAAUCCCGAAUUCUAGAUGAGAUGUUAAACUGCUGUUAUGAACCCACUAAUAACUGUAGAAAAAGCUUUAAAAGACAGUUUAACAGAGGCUACAUACCAUCCGCAUAAGAAUAUAGCUGGUUUUCAAUAAACAUUAUACAUUAAAACAUAUAAUUAUAUUAUAGUGUAAUAUUAUUGAGGAUAAGCCCAAUAAUGCAAGCAAUAAUUAUACUAAAUCCAUUUAUAUAAGUAGGCCUAAAAACAGCCAACUAAAACACUUUAUCGUAAUAAAUAAAGAUAAAAUACAUAUACACACAUGCUAAAGAAAAUUGAAAAACUAGACAAAUUUUCUUCUCCAAAUUUACUAUGUAAAAAUAAGUAUUAUAAAACAAUAUAAACAAUAAACUAGUAAUUAACAAUGUAUAAACAACAAUAAUUAAUUAAGGAACUCGGCAAACCAUUAUUUCGACUGUUUAACAAAAACAUUGUCUCAUGAAAACAUAUGAGAUAAUACCUGCCCA